UUUUCAUCAUUCCCAUAAUUCAAUAAAAUUUGAUGGGUUUAAAAACAACAUUUUAAUCAUUCACACAAUAAAAUCAAAUUUCAUGGGUUUAACUACCACAUUUUCAUCAUUCACAUAGUUUAAUCAAAUUUCGUGGGUUUAAGAACAACAUUUUCAUCAUUCACACAGUUCAAUCAAAUUUCAUGGGUUUACAUCAACAUUUUCAUCAUUCCCGUAAUUC
rnacentral:lncRNA from 1 species